UACGUAGGGGGCGAGCGUUGUCCGGAAUUAUUGGGCGUAAAGAGCUCGUAGGCGGUUCGGCAAGUCACGUGUGAAAUCUCCACGCUCAACGUGGAGUCGCCACGUGAGACUGCCGUGACUCGAGUCCGGUAGGGGAGAUCGGAAUUCCUGGUGUAGCGGUGAAAUGCGCAGAUAUCAGGAGGAACACCGGUGGCGAAGGCGGAUCUCUGGGCCGAUACUGACGCUGAGGAGCGAAAGCGUGGGGAGCGAACAGG
rnacentral:rRNA from 1 species